CUGCAGCCAAUUAAGCCGACCAUACCACCCUCCCCAUGACGCCCGGUGUGCAGUGGCUGCAAACAGCAGCCUCCUGGGUAGUGUGUGCAGCCUGUUGCUUGUAUUGGCUGCCCUAAGGGACCCUGGAGACAGCC
rnacentral:snoRNA from 1 species